rnacentral:lncRNA from 1 species
CCCCGUGUAAAUUGUCAGAGUAUUCAUUUAUUCAGAUUAACUAAUUAUAUGCCAAAUCCAGUGCUAUGAUUUGCUCAGACGUCCAAUGACGUCAGAAGCGAGAAAUCUUCAGUGACAAUUUUGGCCUUGUCGCUUGGAGGCGCUGUGUAAUCUGGGCAGCAAGAAUUGACACGUGUGUUGAUAAACAUAAUCACGAUAAUUCCAUAGAUUCACCGCUAUUUUGUCGUAUUUUGAUGAGCCAAUGUUGUUGAACCUUGCUACUUGCAUCUUUAUAUUGGA